rnacentral:piRNA from 1 species
UAUGGAAUCGCACGGUGUAGA